AACCUAGCACACCUGCGGUGUGUACCUGCGGAGGGAUCAUUACCGAGUUUACAAACUCCCAAACCCUUUGUGAACCUUACCUAUCGUUGCUUCGGCGGGAUCGCCCCGGGCCGGCCCUUCACGGGGCCUCCGGAACCAGGCGCCCGCCGGAGAACCCAAACUCUUUGUUUUUAUGGUUUUCUCCUCUGAGUGGAUUAUAAACAAAUAAAUCAAAACUUUUAGCAACGGAUCUCAGAUCGG
rnacentral:misc_RNA from 1 species